CGAUUCUAAUACGAUUAUUGCCAAAUAACCAGUAUUAUAUCAUAAUAGUAAAAUAUUUUUAAAUUAGUUUAAUUCGAUUAUAAAAAUUUUUAAUUAUUUAAAUUAUGGUAUUUUUUGAAGCGAUUAUUCUGCGGAAAUUAUGUAUUCUCGGUCUACGUGCUAUGAGUUAAAAAAAAAAAAGGAAAAAGAAAAAUCCUUAUCAAUAUCCGGAAUUCUUAAUAGUCCCUUCACAAAUGCCGUCAAGGCACUACAGAAAGCACCCCUGCCUGACCCCACUGCCACUGCAGGCCACCACACGUCAAAAUUGCAAAGCUCCAUUUCCAUGGCCUACGAAACCAACAAAUGGAAAAUGACAAACUACAGUUCCUCCACUCAAAUAACCUUGACUCUUACAUAAUCCCCUAACCUCCCCCUCCACCUCCUUCCAUCCCCUCCACCAGACCCACAAUUCUGUUGCAUCCCCCAACCAACAGUAACCAUGAGGAUCACUACCUUCAUCAUUACCUGCUGCACCCUACUGACAGCCACAGCAACAGGCAUCACUGUGUGGCCAAAGCCAAGAGUUUUCACAUGGCAGCAUCCACAGUUCGCCACACUUGUCUCUCCAGCCUUCGCAAUAACCGCACCUAACCACCCACAUCUCUCUCCCGCCAUAAACCGUUACCUUCACCAAAUCCUCACCGAGCGUUACCCGCCUCUCAUAAACCCUUCCAUCAACAUCUCCAACGCAUCCCCACCGUUGCAAAUUCUCUCUAUUACAGUCUCCAACCUCGCCACUCCACUUCACCACGGUGUCAAUGAGUCCUACUCGCUUAUCAUCCCCGCGAAGGACUCCACUGCCACUAUAAUUGCUGACACAGUGUGGGGUGCAAUGCGAGGACUCGAAACGUUCUCACAGCUUGUAUGGGGUAACCCUUCACGUGUCCCUGUUGGGGUUUAUGUGUGGGAUGCUCCUCUUUUUGGACAUAGAGGUCUAAUGUUGGAUACUUCGAGGAAUUACUAUCCGGUUUCGGAUAUAAUGAGGACUAUUAGUGCUAUGAGUGCUAAUAAACUUAAUAUUUUCCAUUGGCAUAUUACUGAUUCGCAUUCGUUUCCUAUGGUGUUCCCUUCUGAGCCUGGACUUGCUGAGAAGGGUUCUUAUGGGAAUAAUAUGCGGUACACUCCUGAGGAUGUUGCUGAUGUUGUCAAGUUUGGUUUGGAACAUGGAGUCAGGGUUUUAGCUGAAAUUGACUCUCCUGCUCAUACAGGAUCAUGGGCUGGAGCUUACCCAGAUCUUGUGACAUGUGCAAAUAUGUUUUGGUGGCCAGCUGGGAGUGAAUGGCCUGACAGGCUUGCAUCUGAACCAGGAACUGGCCAACUAAAUCCACUGAAUCCUAAGACCUAUGAAGUGCUCAAAAACAUAAUUGCUGAUGCAGUCACCAUGUUCCCUGAACCAUUUUACCAUGCUGGAGGUGAUGAGAUCAUCCCAGGAUGUUGGAAAGCUGACCCAGCCAUUCAAUCCUUCCUAUCAGAUAAUGGAACCCUCAGUCAGCUGUUGGAGACCUUUGUCCGUUCCACCUUCCCUUAUAUUGUAUCACUCAAUCGUACAGUUGUGUACUGGGAAGAUAUUUUGUUGGAUGACAAUGUCAAGGUGGAUGCUGCAAUUCUUCCGCCUGAGCAUACCAUUCUACAAACAUGGAAUAAUGGUCCAAACAAUACAAAACUGAUUGUUGAUGCUGGCUAUCGAGCUAUUGUUUCAUCCUCGGAAUUCUAUUAUUUGGAUUGCGGGCAUGGUGACUUUCUUGGGAAUGAUAGCCAAUAUGAUCAGCCACCAACAGCUAAUGAUACAGGAAAUGGCGGGUCCUGGUGUGGAUCCUUCAAAACAUGGCAAACCAUAUAUAACUAUGACAUAACAUAUGGGCUAAGUGAGAAGGAAGCUGAAUUGGUACUAGGGGGUGAGGUGGCAUUAUGGUCAGAGCAAGCUGACCCAGCAGUUUUGGAUGUACGUCUUUGGCCGAGAACUUCAGCAAUGGCUGAGACUUUGUGGUCAGGGAAUAGGGAUGAGACAGGUAUGAAGAGGUAUGCUGAAGCAAUGGAUCGUUUAAAUGAGUGGAGGUACAGAAUGGUCAGCAGAGGAAUCAGAGCUGAACCUCUUCAACCACUCUGGUGCAUUAGGAACCCGGGCAUGUGCAAUACAGUUCAUCCAUUGGUUUAAUUGUCCACUGUUCUUGGUGGAUCUUGCUGUUUUAUCAAAUUCGUGGAAGUCCUGGCACUCUUUUGAUCGAAUAUGCCUGAAUUUGCUCUUCUUUUAUCAUGUGCCUAGAAGUUAUUUUCAAGUAUGACCAACAAGGAGAAGCUGGAGUAUACAGGAGUCA